rnacentral:rRNA from 1 species
UACGUAGGGGGCAAGCGUUGUCCGGAUUUAUUGGGCGUAAAGAGCGUGUAGGCGGCCACACAGGUCUGCUGUGAAAACUCGAGGCUCAACCUCGAGCUGUCGGUGGAAACCGUGUGGCUAGAGUCCGGAAGAGGAGAGUGGAAUUCCCGGUGUAGCGGUGAAAUGCGCAGAUAUCGGGAAGAACACCCGUGGCGAAGGCGGCUCUCUGGGACGGUACGUGACGCUGAGACGCGGAAAGCGUGGGGAGCGAACGAGGA